GUGAGAGUGGAGGACAUCCCCGCACUCAAGGUGAGACUGGGAUAAACUGGGACAAACUGGGACAGACUGGGAUGGACUGGGAGGGACUGGGACGGACUGGGAUGGACUGGGAGUCACUGGGAAUCACUGGGAGUCACUGGGAUGGGACUAGGAGUCAUUGGGAGCACUGGGGAGAGGGCAUCUUCAGGGAGAGGGACGAGUUCGUGGUGAGGGUGGAGGAUAUCCCCGCACUCAAGGUGAGACUGGGAUAAACUGGGAGUCACUGGGAGGGACUGGGAGGGACUGGGAUGGACUGGGAGUGAGGACAUGGCACUGGGAGUCACUGGGACAAACUGGGAGUCACUGGGAGCACUGGGGACAGGGCAUCUUCAGGGAGAGGGACGAGUUCGUGGUCAGGGUGGAGGAUAUCCCCGCACUCAAGGUGAGACUGUGACGGGGCCGGGAGCCGCCGCCCAUCUGGCGGGUGCAGAAGGCGCUGCUGCAGAAAUUCACCCCCGAGAUCAAAGACGGGCAGCGGCAGUUCUGCGCCACCAGCAACGUGAGCGGCACCCCAAAAAAUACCUGGGGGACCCCAAAAACUCCGGGGGAACACCAAAAAAUACCAGGGGAACCCAAAAAAUACCGGGGGAACCCAAAAACCCACGGGGCACCCCCAAAACCAGCCUGGGAAACCCAAAAAA
rnacentral:lncRNA from 1 species